rnacentral:lncRNA from 1 species
AUUUUUUCACUUUCUUUUCUUCUUCUCUCUUUUCUCCCUCUUUAAUAAUCCGAGGGGCCAAAACACCGUCGUUGUGAUGUUGGAGUCACUAGGCUUGGGGGUGUACAACGGGAACGUCAGACCCAUGAUAUGAGACGGACGAAAACGACGACAAAGCAACGCACAAUGAACAACAUCGGCUUUUUUCAGUCGUUGAUGCUGGGUGGUGGUCUGGAUAUAGUUGCGGGGUUUGGGGGCGGCGUAGGCGGUGGUCUAGGUGGCUGUGGAUAUUUUGGAGGAGGUGAUGGUGGUGGUGGCGCUGAUGGUGGUGCAGGUGUAGGGCCGAGUGGUGUUAACAAGGCUGGUGGUGGAGUAAUGGUGGCAGAUCUAGGAUUUUUGUGCGGAGCUCAACCCCGGCGGAGGAAGUUCACGCAUGUUAAUCGAC